rnacentral:snRNA from 1 species
ACUCUCAAUGAAAGCACC